rnacentral:rRNA from 1 species
GACAGAGGGUGCAAACGUUGUUCGGAAUUACUGGGUGUAAAGCGCGUGUAGGCGGCUUUGCAAGUCGGGCGUGAAAUCCCACGGCUCAACCGUGGAAGUGCACUCGAAACUGCAGAGCUAGAGUCCUGGAGAGGAAGGUGGAAUGCUUGGUGUAGAGGUGAAAUUCGUAGAUAUCAAGCGGAACACCGGUGGCGAAGGCGGCCUUCUGGACAGUGACUGACGCUGAGACGCGAAAGCGUGGGGAGCAAACAGG